rnacentral:lncRNA from 1 species
UGUCUUGUUAUGUGAAUUAUCGAUAAUGUGACAUGUGAUUAAGCAACUUUGAGCUCAUAAACCUGCACCUAGGGUGAUUGUGAUUUAUCCAGAGAUGUGGCACAUGCCUAUUUAUAAUGUCACCUCCCGCACCAUAUGAGACAUUGGAUCCAAUUUAGGUGCACAGUCUUGUUGUAGAGAUCAUCAUAGGUGGUUCCGACUCGUAGGUGACUAGCGAUUUAUGGCCCAGCUAUCAUGAGAGCGUAGUAUUGAGCAUAAUUAUAUUACACCCAGUCUUGUCGUACAGACCAUCAUAGGUGGUUCCGACUUGUAGGUGACUAGCGAUUUAUUGCCCAGCUAUCAUGAGAGCGUAGUAUUGAGCAUAAUUAUAUUACACCCAGUCUUGUCGUACAUACCAUUUUAGUGGUUCUGACUUAUGUGCAGUGUAGUGCCGUAUAGGUCAUUGUAGUGACUCCGGCUAUAUUGAAUAAUGAGCUAUGAAUUCAUCCGUACAGACUUCUACAGGGGUUCCGACUAAUAUGUUAUUUUCCAUGAAUUUAUUCUCACCUGAGUUACUUAUUCUAUUUUUAUUUUUUGGCAUGGCAUACUUAUGAAUAUGAUUAUGAGAAGCAUGAUUUGAAUUGAGAUAUUUACAUAUAUAUAUAUUUAUGCAUAUGUUUAUAUUGUAUUUAUGAGAAAAUUAUACAUGUUUUACGGCGAUGGGUUAGAGCAUUUUAAUGAUGAAAUGGUUUUGAAAAACAUUUGUUUUUACCCACUCACAUUUUCUGUUUUGGGCCCCUCUAGGUUUUAGGUAGACUUUUUGUUGGUGGCGUACGAGGAUUUCGGCGGUUCUGACAUAAUAAAAUAUUGUAGGACAUCUUCUGGUACUGUAUAAUGAGUACUUGUCCUACUGGACUGCACCUAGACUUUCUAUGCUCUGAUUAGGAGUAUUUACCUUUGUAUCUCACUCCUAACACUUCCUGUUUAUUAGUGCACUUUAGUAGCUUUCGGUUUUUAUUUAUUUGUAUAUUUCUUAUCCUUAUUGCUUCUGCACUGUGCACAUGGCAACGUCACCCUCACGUGACGGCCAACAUGCCUUGAUCUUAGUCGGGGUGUGUCAGUUUGGUAUCAGAGCCUAGGUUUAGCAGUCCUGUAUAUCUUGUGAAUGAUCUAAUCAUUGUGAUGUCUUCUGUCAGAACUAUGCCGCCUUGUAGAGAACCACGUCAUUCAGCUGAGCCUAGUUUCCUUGAUAUUGCUCAAUUAGGGGAAGCUAUAGCUAAUGCCAUUCAGUCUUCUCUUUGUCCUCCUCAGAGGACACCUUUUGAGACUGUGUACAAUCUGAAGCUGAAUCACUUUAUGGGAAAUGAAUGACAUGAAGGAGCGGAGAAGUGGCUUAAUUAUGUUGAGAAGACUUUCCUUGUGAUGCAGAGUCAGGGAAACCUUUCUCCUGAUAGGUGGGUCGAGACGACUACCUGGUUUUUAGGUCCGGAGCCUGCAUCCUGGUGGAGACAGGAGUCAUAUCAGAUGCCACCAGAGGUAGUAGCCGAUUGGGAAGUGUUUAAACAGUUGUUUCGGAAAAGGUUUAUUCCUCCUGAGUACAUUGAUCGCAAGAAACAAGAGUUUACGCAUUUGAAGCAAGGAAAGAUGUCAGCGAAUGAGUAUUACAGGAAGUUCACUUAUUUGUCUCGAUAUGAUCUAGAGGUUGCAGUUAAUCUGGUUGAGAUGCUUCAUCGUUUCAGGUUGGGUACUAAGAAGAAAUGGCGUUCUAUAGCGACAUCGACUCCCUAUUCCACUUACCAGGAGUUUUAUAAGGUUUUACUACGGAUUGAGGACUUCGAGAACAUGCCAAGUGAAAGUGAAGAUGAAGAAGAAAAGAAUGUGAACCAAAAGCGAGAUGAUAAAGGUAAAGGUCAAGCAUCUCAGGGACCUUGUAAGACCCAGAACUUUAAGAGAAGUGGUGUUAGUUCUAGCUCUUCUAGUGGAGGUUUGAGCUCUAAUGUAUAGAGGAGAGGUGGUAGAUUCUUUGGAGGACCAAGAUUUCAGAGACAGAGGGACUUUGGUGGUUCAGAUGCUUUUUUAUGCCGCAUGUGUAAUAAUAGGCAUUUUGGAGAGUGUAGGAGAGGCAGCAGUGCAUGCUAUACUUAUGGACAGAUGGAGCAUAGGGCUACGCAUUGCCCUCAGAAUCAACAGAGGCCUCAAUAGCCUCCAUUACCACCACCUGCACCGACCCAACAAGCUUCAGGAUCUAGUGGUUAUGGCCAGUCUGGUCGUGGAGGUGUUUGUCAUUAUCAGGGCGAUGCCGUUCCUUAUGCUACAUGGCAGUAUCAGUACUCACAGGAUCCUUAUUAUCAGGGUGGUUACCCUCAGUAUCAGGGAGGUUCUAUGCCAUAUCAACCAUAUCAGCCAUAUUCAGCAGGUGGAUCCCAGUGGUAUCAGGGGGGACAGCCUCAGCAGGUAGAGAUUGCUGCUAGUAGUGCAGGAUCUUCAAGGCAGCCUGGUCAGCCAAGAUAGGGACGAGGUGUUCAUGCUAACAGAGGUCAUGGUGGACGACAGCAGAAUUAGGGACGUAUCCAUAACAUGACACUGCAAGAUGCUCACAACAUCCUGAUUUAAUCAUUGGUACGUUAAAUAUUCUUGGUCGUUUUGCUAGAGUAUUGAUUGACUGUGGUGCUACACAUUUUGUUAUUUCUCAUACAUUUGCUCAUUUGACGCAACCUCAUCCUACACCUCUAGGAUAUGAUUUAGAGUUUUCUAUGCCUAGAGGAGAUAGAUGUUUUGUGGAUCGGGUGUAUCCAUGAUGUCUAGUGAUGGUGGAUGAUGUUGUUAUGCCAGCUAAUCUUAUGUCGUUGGACAUUGUGGAUUUUGAUGUGAUUUUGGGCACUGAUUGGUUGCAUUAUAAUCGUGCCAAAAUAGAUUUUUAUGGUAAGACAGUCACGUUUCAUCGUCCUGGAUUACCUGAAGUUACAUUUGUAGGAGAACCGUGCGGGGUGAGGCAUGGUAUUAUUUCUGCCAUGAAAGCCAAAAGAUUAUUGUCGAAAGGUUGUCAGGGAUAUUUGGCUCAUGUAGUAUUGCAUGAUGAUGCUCCUAGUAGUGUGGAGGAUGUGCGUGUGGUCAGGCAUUUUCCGGAUGUGUUCCCUGAUGAUUUUCCUGAAUUUCCGCCAGAUAGAGAUGUGGAGUUCGUUAUUGAUUUGCUUCCAGGUAUGAAUCAUAUAUCUUUGACUCCUUAUAGAAUGGCUCCUGCUGAAUUAAGAGAAUUGAAAGUUCAAUUACAAGAAUUAAUGGAUAAAGGUUUUAUUCAGCCUAGUACUUCACCUUGGGGAGCUCCAGUCUUAUUUGUGAGGAAGAAAGAUGGAACCUUGAGGCUGUGUAUUGAUUACAAGCAAUUGAAUCGGUAACAAUUAAGAACUGUUAUCCGUUACCCCAUAUAGAUGAUUUGUUUGAUCAACUCUGAGGUGCCUGUGUAUUCUCUAAGAUUGACUUGAGGUCUGGUUACUACCAGUUGAAGAUUAGAAGUGAAGAUGUCCCUAAGAUCGCAUUCAGGACUCGAUAUGGUCAUUAUGAGUUUCUUGUGAUGCCAUUCGGGUUAACUAAUGCACCAGCAGCUUUUAUGGAUUUAAUGAAUCAAGUAUUCCAGCCGUAUUUGGACAGGUUUGCCAUUGUCUUUAUUGAUGACAUUUUGAUAUACUCUAAGACUAGAGCAAAGCAUGCUAGACAUCUUAAAUUGGUGUUGAAAUGUUUGAGGGAACACGAAUUAUCCCGAGGACGAGCAUAGUCAAGGGCGACUCAGGGGCUACGACCUUUCGACAUACCAGUGAGUGGGCUUUUGGGCUUUUGGUUUUAAGUAUAUACCACGAAUUAUCCCAGAAAAUGCAUUUAAAUGAUUUAUGCUUUGAAAAUGCCAUGCCUAUUCUUAAACAAUGAGUUGAAUUGUUUGCAUAUAUAUAUAUAUAUAUAUAUAUAUAUAUAUAUAUAUAAUUGUGGUGUUGUGGACGCUCAGGUAAGUACCAGGUGAGUUAUGUCUUGUUAUGUGAAUUAUCGAUAAUGUGACAUGUGAUUAAGCAACUUUAAGCUCAUAAACCUGCACCUAGGGUGAUUGUGAUUUAGCCAGAGAUGUGGCACAUGCCUAUUUAUAAUGUCACCUCCCGUACCAUAUGCUCACAUUUGAUCCAAUUUAGGUGCACAGUCUUGUCGUACAGACCAUCAUAGGUGGUUCCAACUCGUAGGUGACCAGUGAUUUAUGGCCCAGCUAUCAUGAGAGCGUAGUAUUGAGUAUAAUUAUAUUACACUCAGUCUUAUCGUACAGAUCAUCAUAGGUGGUUCCGACUUGUAGGUGACUAGCGAUUUAUCGCCCAACUAUCAUGAGAGCGUAGUAUUGAGCAUAAUUAUAUUACACCUAGUCUUGUCGUACAGACCCUUUUAGUAGUUCUGACUUAUGUGCAGUGUAGUGCUGUAUAGGUCAUUGUAGUGACUCAGGCUAGAUUAAAUAAUGAGCUAUGAAUUCAGCCGUACAGACUUCUACCAGGGUUCGGCUAAUAUGUUAUUUUCCAUGAAUUUAUUCUCACCUGAGUUACUUAUUAUAUUUUUAUGUUUGGCAUGGCAUACUUAUGAAUAUGAUUAUGAGAGGCAUGAUUUGAAUUGAGAUAUUUACAUAUAUAUAUUUAUGCAUAUGUUUAUAUUCUAUUUCUGAGAAAAUUAUACAUGUUUUACGGCGAGGGUUAGAGCAUUUUAAUGAUGAAAUGGUUUUGAAAAACAUUUGUUUUUGCCCACUCACAUUUUCUGUUUUGCACCCCUCCAGGUUUUAGGUAGACUUGCUGUUGGCGGCGUACGAGGAUUUCGGCGGUUCUGACAUAAUAAAAUAUUGUAGGACAUCUUAUGGUACUGUAUAAUGAGUACUUGUCCUACUGGACUGCACCUAGACUUUCUAUGCUCUGAUUAGGAAUAUCUACUCUUGUAUCUCAUUCCUAACACUUCAUGUUUAUUAGUGCACUUUAGUAGCUUUCGGUUUUUAUUUAUUCGUAUAUUUCUUAUCCUUAUUGCUUCCGCACUGUGCAUAUGGCUACGUCACCCUCACGUGACGGC